UUUCAGCGGUAGUGAGCCUAGCAGCUAGAAAUUCCAAAUACCCCAGUUCCUUACGGUUUUUAGCCAGAGCUCCAAGGGGACCCCUUACCUUGCCAGAGCAGAGUUUCAGGCCUCCCUGCAUAGCACUGCUGCACAAAGGGCUAGACUAGUCUCUAGGGUCCCCCCCCUCCCCCCCCCCACCUUGUAACCUGUGUUCUAUGCUCCCAUCCCAGUCUCCUGCACAAGCACAUCCGCUAUAUCCCUCUACACCUGGCCCGGAUACCACUUUCUCCAGGAAGCUGCCCCCUUCUGCUCCCCUCCCCCAUUUUGGCAGUAAUGUAUCCCUCUUGCCUUGGUGGGGCCCAAUGUCUCCAUCAGUGUGGCUCAGAUGAAACCAGUCGCUUUAUGCCUGGGGUCAUAAUUACUCCUGUGCUUGGUCAUGUCUCGUUGGCAGGGUCCUUUCUAGAGCAGGGAAUCUUCUUUCUUGGCUUCAUAGUUCCCAUGGGAGGGGCCUGGUAAUGUUUCUUUUGGUCUGGUUGGUUUUGUUUUUAUUUUUAAUGAGUGCCUAUGAAAAAACUGAUGCCAAAAGCUGCUUUCCCCCCAAACCCCGUCUCAGCCCCCCCUUGGGCUGCGAUAAAAAAAUGCCAUUGACCAUGUGGCUUAAACCAUAAACAUCUAUUUCUCACAGUCUUCAGGGCUGGGAAGACCAAGAUCAAGGUGCCAGCAAAUCCAGAUCGCUGUCCGUCGGGAACCCUCCUCUUGAUUUGAAGGCUGUGUCCUCACAUGGCAGAGAGAGAUGUCCUCCUUAUAAGGGAAGAAAAGGGGACAUCUUCGGUGGGGCAGCCAAUGCAACUUCCACGGUAUUUUUCGGCCGGCUGGGAGCCCAUGCUUGUGUAAUGCUGUCAGGACAGCAUCCAGAGAAUGUCACUCACUGCAGGACCCCACUGACACCAGGGCAGUCACGAUAUAGCCAAACCCACCCCAUGCCAAGGGACACCAAAGACGAAAGCCUCCGUGGGCCACAUCAUUCGCCUGCAACAUCCCUCAAAGUGUAGUGGCUUGUAUACCUGGUCACUGUUAGUAGUGGGCAUAGAGAGAUGACAGACACAGAUUCUUGUCCUCCGGCCAUAAAACCAGCUGCCUAGAAUUUGGCGAAGUGACCAGUUUUGCUGAAAUAAAAACCUCGGUUUUACGCGGAAGUGAUUCACUGCUCUGCAUCCAACAUCAACACGCUUCCUGCUUCCCCUGUGUCUUUGAAUCCAGAUGUUGGCUUAAUACAUCCACAGAGCACCUCCCAUAUGCUGGGCACCGGGCUCGGUGCUGACAGGGAUCCAGAGAUAAUCCGUGAGGGCCGAGGGCCCGGGAGCUGACGGUCCAUGAUGGAGAUUCCACCUGUGUCCAAUGAUGGAGCAGACCGUCACCAGCCCUCUCGGUGGGGCCCCCCAGACCAGAGCCACUGGGAAAGAGCACAGACGUGCCGAAGAACCAUCAGACUCAGAGCUGGCAAAGUGUCUUUAGGGCUUGGCUCUCCAGUGGGUUGGGCCAACCUUCUCGAGGGGUCCUUGCCUCAAGACUCCCUAAGGUUCUGAGAGGCCUCGGUGGCUGGUGUUUGACAGGCAUAUGGGGAGAGGCCCAUGCCUGCUCUCCCAGAAUUCUGUGUUCCUCUGUAUCCUUGGCAGGGUCAGAAGACAGAAACCAUUUCUCACAGUCUCGGCAAAUGUCAGCCGCGGAAAAGGCCCCGAAGAGGGUUUAAUCCAGUCUCCCUCAUUUGUGGCAACUGAGGCCCAAAGAAAGAGAGCAGGGAUGCAGCCUAUCUUGGAGAACUCAGGGUUUACAUUAUUGCUUUUAAGGUAUCCGAAGAAGAACGCCGAGCCGGACGAGGGCCCUGCCGCCUGCGGCACAUUCACAGAGAUACUCUGUCAAGGGAAGGAAGGGAACAAGCCAUCUAUUCUUGUCUGCGCCAUUUUCCCAUGUCAGGAGCAGACUGUGCUGAAAAAUUUAGGUUUUCUGCUUUCAUGCUUCCUUUCACUGCACUCUGGACAAAAUGCCUUUCUUUCCCCCCUUUUCUUUGGCGGGAUCCUGACCAAGGCUGUAGAAAAAGAAUCUUUUUAAGAACAUAUAUAUCUAUCUAUCGAUAUACAUUCAGCCCCUGACAGUGACACGGAACUGUAGUGCCUCUUAAUUACCCAGGAAGUGACAAGGUCAAGAGGUGUCUGAAAGCCGCCUUGUGCUUCUGGGCAUUGGUUUCUCACCAUUGUCGCCGCUUCACAAGCUGGAGUGGGGGCCAUGGCGCCUGGUUUUUGUCCACUGUUUGGAGUUCUUCCUUUCUUCCUUCCUCACUUUUUUUUUUUUUUUUUUUUUUAAUUUGAAAAGAAACUUCUGGCAUUUGGGGUAUUGAUUGAAAAUGCGUAAAGGCAGGACGCGUUUCGGGUUGGCUGACCAGUGAUAAUUGCUGCUUGCGCGCUCGAGGAGGGGGUCAGCUUCCCGCAGCAACACCCUCUCCUGAUGCCCCCAUUCUCUGGCUCCUCUCCCACUUUCUUCCUAUUAUCUCUGGGCUUUCCGGGAGAAAAUGACAAUUAGAGAGAAAUGUUCAUGCCCA